rnacentral:rRNA from 1 species
CCUACGGGAUGCAGCAGUGGGGAAUAUUGCACAAUGGGGGAAACCCUGAUGCAGCGACGCCGCGUGAGUGCAGAAGUAUCUCGGUACGUAAAGCUCUAUCAGCAGGGAAGAACAUGACGGUCCCUGACUAAGAAGCCCCGGUGAACUACUGGCCAGCAGCCGCGGUAAUACGUAGGGGGCAAGCGUUAUCCGGAUUUACUGGGUGUACAGGGAGCGUAGACGGCAGAACAAGUCUGGAGUGAAAUCUCGGGGAUUAACCCCGGAACUGCUUUUGAAAUUGUGCGGCUGGAGUGCAGGAGGGGUAAGCUGAAUUCCUAGUGUAGCGGUGAAAUGCGUAGAUAUUAGGAGGAACACCGGUGGCGAAGGCGGCUUACUGGACUGUAACUGACGUUGAGGCUCGAAAGCGUGGGGAGCAAACAGGAUUAGAUACCCCGGUAGUC